AUCCUUUUUUAGUUCAUAAGCGAGAUGAUUGGGUUUUCAUGCUCAUGCGUGAGAUGUGCCUCCCACAAUGUUACGAUGUCCGCACAUUACCCGACUGACA